rnacentral:rRNA from 1 species
AGAGUUUGAUCCUGGCUCAGGACGAACGCUGGCGGCGUGCUUAACACAUGCAAGUCGAACGGAAAGGCUUUCUUGCUUGCAAGAGAGUACUCGAGUGGCGAACGGGUGAGUAACACGUGGGUGAUCUGCCCCUAACUUCGGGAUAAGCUUGGGAAACUGGGUCUAAUACCGGAUAGGACCACAUUUUAGUGUGUGUGGUGGAAAGUUUUUUCGGUUAGGGAUGAGCCCGCGGCCUAUCAGCUUGUUGGUGGGGUAAUGGCCUACCAAGGCGUCGACGGGUAGCCGGCCUGAGAGGGUGGACGGCCACAUUGGGACUGAGAUACGGCCCAGACUCCUACGGGAGGCAGCAGUGGGGAAUAUUGCACAAUGGGCGCAAGCCUGAUGCAGCGACGCCGCGUGAGGGAUUGAAGGCCUUCGGGUUGUAAACCUCUUUCGCUAGGGACGAAGCUUAUUUUGUGACGGUACCUAGAUAAGAAGCACCGGCUAACUACGUGCCAGCAGCCGCGGUAAUACGUAGGGUGCGAGCGUUGUCCGGAUUUACUGGGCGUAAAGAGCUCGUAGGUGGUUUGUCGCGUCGUCUGUGAAAUUCCGGGGCUUAACUUCGGGCGUGCAGGCGAUACGGGCAUAACUUGAGUGCUGUAGGGGAGACUGGAAUUCCUGGUGUAGCGGUGGAAUGCGCAGAUAUCAGGAGGAACACCGAUGGCGAAGGCAGGUCUCUGGGCAGUAACUGACGCUGAGGAGCGAAAGCAUGGGGAGCGAACAGGAUUAGAUACCCUGGUAGUCCAUGCCGUAAACGGUGGGCGCUAGGUGUGAGCCUCUUCCACGGGGUUCGUGCCGUAGCUAACGCAUUAAGCGCCCCGCCUGGGGAGUACGGCCGCAAGGCUAAAACUCAAAGGAAUUGACGGGGGCCCGCACAAGCGGCGGAGCAUGUGGAUUAAUUCGAUGCAACGCGAAGAACCUUACCUGGGCUUGACAUGUACAGGAUCGGGCUAGAGAUAGUUUUUCCUUUUUAGGUCUGUAUACAGGUGGUGCAUGGUUGUCGUCAGCUCGUGUCGUGAGAUGUUGGGUUAAGUCCCGCAACGAGCGCAACCCUUGUCUUAUGUUGCCAGCACAUUUUGGUGGGGACUCAUGAGAGACUGCCGGGGUUAACUCGGAGGAAGGUGGGGAUGACGUCAAAUCAUCAUGCCCCUUAUGUCCAGGGCUUCACACAUGCUACAAUGGUCGGUACAACGCGCUGCGAGCCUGUGAGGGUAAGCGAAUCGCUGAAAGCCGGCCUCAGUUCGGAUUGGGGUCUGCAACUCGACCCCAUGAAGUCGGAGUCGCUAGUAAUCGCAGAUCAGCAACGCUGCGGUGAAUACGUUCCCGGGCCUUGUACACACCGCCCGUCACGUCAUGAAAGUUGGUAACACCCGAAGCCCAUGGCCUAACCACGUUUGUGGAGGGAGUGGUCGAAGGUGGGAUUGGCGAUUGGGACGAAGUCGUAACAAGGUAGCCGUACCGGAAGGUGCGGCUGGAUCACCU